rnacentral:lncRNA from 1 species
AUGUUGGUGCACACUCAAACCACACCUAAAAUACAGGAAUGCUCUUCCACGCUGUUCUAUGAUUGCUCUGUACCAUCAUUCUGGGGGUCGUGGGAAGGUAGAACUUCACAAAAGCUUGUGAAAGGAGGGAUAAAGAAGGAUGGCAAAGAGGCUGACGGAGCAGAAGUCACAUCUUGGCAUUAUAGGCAAAUGCUUCAAGUAGCCCACUUUCUUCCAGAACUCCUGGAGACACUAGAAGAACCUGGACUCCCACGGUAUAUAAAAUGAAAGUGGACUCAGUUUUAGUUAAGUAUUAAUUGAAUGUAAAGGUCAUGUUAAACUAUACGUCAGGACUAAAAUGGUUUUGUUUUUUUUUUUUUAAUAAUUGACAAUAGAACUCCUUUAUUGCCUUUACUACCUUUCUGUUCCAUGUUACUAUUUUUUAUUUUACCUUCUCUACUGUAUAAAUGGCAAUCAUUCUGUCAUCCUGGUGAUUUUGUUUAGUUCCACUAUGAUAGAUUGAUUUGAUGACAUAGCUCUCAGAGUGAGAGACAGACAGGGCUCCCAUCUGCCAGCUCACUCUUGAAAGGCCCAAGAGCCAGGAAUUCCAUGCAGGUCUCUCACACGGGUGUCAGGAACCCAAGUACUUCAGCCAUCACCUGCUAUCUUAUGCAUUAGCAGGAAGCUGGAAUGACGGAAAGAGCCAGACUCGAACCCAGGCACUCUGAUAUGGGAUGUGGGCAUCACCAGCAAGUCUUAUUCACUGGGCACAACACCUGCCCCUAAUUCAUCCAAUUUCUAAAUAAUCUAGACUACUUUAUUUUUACUGCACAUAUUAAUAUAGAUAUAUGUAAUAUGUAUAAUUUUCUUGUUCAUUAAUAUGUUCAGGUACAUAAUUUUAUGUCAUAUGAUAAUGCAAGAAUUUUUUAACUAGACAAUUACAUUCCUCUUUUAGAUUAAAAAAAUGGAGAGAGAGAGAGAGAGAUUUUAAGAUUUCCAUUUAAAAGAAUGAUUUGAUGUUCCCACAAUACUGGAAUGUACCAAAAUUACAUUUCAAACUCAUUUGUAUUGGCCUCAGUUUCUAAAGUCUUUUACUGUAAUUUUACUAGCGUAAAAUACGUGGUGACACUAACACAAACAAUUCCUAACAGAGACUAUUUUAAAUUUCCAUUUAAUGAAAGGGUACAACUUGAAUUUCCUAAGUUCUCCUUGAUUAGGCACCUGUGAGGCUUGUAUACUGUCAUAAAUCAAUUUUACAAAUACAGCAUUAAAAAGAAAUUAAAGAAGG